rnacentral:rRNA from 1 species
UACGUAGGGUGCGAGCGUUUGUCCGGAAUUAUUGGGCGUAAAGAGCUCGUAGGCGGCUUGUCACGUCGGGUGUGAAAGCCCGGGGCUUAACCCCGGGUCUGCAUUCGAUACGGGCUAGCUAGAGUGUGGUAGGGGAGAUCGGAAUUCCUGGUGUAGCGGUGAAAUGCGCAGAUAUCAGGAGGAACACCGGUGGCGAAGGCGGAUCUCUGGGCCAUUACUGACGCUGAGGAGCGAAAGCGUGGGGAGCGAACAGG